AGGUAGAAGGUGGGUGGGUGGGUAAUUCUGUCACAGAUGAGUUGGUCCCCUGAACUUAGCUACCAGCUCAUGUCCAGGGGACCUUAGUAUCUGAGACCAAGACAUUUUACUACAGUCAUGUCUUUUGCAGGGAGCUAAGAUCACCAGGAAUCAUCUGCCAUUUCAGACCCUUUGCUGCUUCCUGCCAGGUGGCCCCCACUGCCAAGAAGAAAUGGUGGAUUUCCCAGUCUUGCCAGACUUCUCCCAGCAAGUACCUCUGUCCAACAAUCUCUUCUUAUUCACACAUCUCCUUCUUCUUCUUUGGCCUGGAGAGGUGAACUCAGAGGAGGUCAGUGUGGUAGGCCCUGGGGAAUCCAUCCUGGCACUUGUGGGGGAAGAAGUGGAGUUCUCAUGCCACUUGUCACCAUACCUGGAUGCUGAGGAUAUGGAGAUCCGCUGGUUCCGGAGUCGGACCUCUGAAGUGGUCCACCUGUACCAGGGGCGGCAGGAGCUCUACAGCCAGCAGAUGGUGCAGUUCCAGAACAGGACCAAACUCCUCAAAGAUGAUAUCAUGGAUGGUAGUGUAAACCUGCAACUCCUUGGCAUCAUUCCUGCUGAUGAGGGCCUGUAUGGGUGCCGUUUCCUCUCCAGCAACUUCUCUAGGGAAGCAGUCUGGGAGCUGGAGGUAGCAGGGAUGGGCUCAGACCCUCACAUCUCCCUUGAGGGCUUCAAGGAGGGAGGCAUUCAGCUGAAGUGCAGUUCCAGUGGCUGGUACCCCAAGCCCCAGGCUCAGUGGAAAGAUCAUAAAGGACAGUGCCUGCCUCCAAAGAUGGAAGCCAUAGUCCAGGAUGCCCAGGGCCUGUUCAAUCUGGAAACAUCUGUGAUUGUUCAAGGGGGUGCCCACAGUAAUGUGUCCUGCUCCAUCCAGAACUCUCUCCUGAUACAGAAGAAAGAGUUCACCAUCCAGAUAGCAGAUGCAUUUUUACCCGGAACCUCACCCUGGAAGAGAGCUUUCCUUGGGUCUCUGGUGGGACUGCCAUUCCUCCUGGCUUUUCUCUUGACGCUGGCGCUGUACUUCUUUCAGAAGCAACGUAGGUCCCAAGAAAAGUUGAAGGAGCAGGCUGAGAAGGACAAAGGGAGACUCACAGAAGAGCUGGGGAAGCUUCAGACAGAGCUUGACUGGAGAAGGGCUGAAGGCCAGGCUGAGUGGAGAGCAGCCCAACAAUAUGCAGGCUCUUCCACUGGCUCCUCCACCCUGUAUCCAGGCAGCAUUGUGUCUGGUGACUGUGCCUGCUUCCAAAGUCCUGGCUUGGAACUUGUUCCCACACACACCAAGAUUCAUGGCCCCUCCACACACUGAGGAGACUUGGGAGGCUCUUCCUCCAACCAGCAGACCCCUGUGUACUGGCUGCCACAAUUGGCAUCAGGCUGAGGAACUCUCAUUGUCUUCCUCUCUCCCAGCAACAAUUUGGAGAUGAUUUUGUAGACUAAGGCCCAAAGCCAUGCCAUUGUGGGGCUGUGUGUAUCUGUCAUGGCUGCUUGCCUCCCUGAUAUGUUCUCCAAACCUCUCCUGGAAAGUGAUCUUGGCAAAGAGUUGGUCAGCAAGAGAUUUGGGAGAGACCUAGAACUGGGAAACAGAAGUAGUGGGUGGAGUUGGUUAGCAUGGGGGCACUGAUGAGAGGUUUUUUUUGGCCUGAAGUUGGUUUUGGAAGGGUGAACCCCACACAGACAGGGGCCCAUCUGUCAUCUGACAUCUACUAACCUGGGAGCUCACAACCUCAUUGUAGGAUCAGGUACUGACCACAUUUUUAAACUGUCACUAUCCUGAUGGACAAGUUGCUCUCAGUAUGUUAAAGAAGAAAGAAAAGGGACCAACUGUAUUAAGCUAAACAAGGUCAAUACAAGAAAAUGUGUUAUUUAAGUUAAAUUAAGUCCCUCUGCUGGCAACCUUGGGAGGGAACCUCAGGUACAAAAAAACAUAGCCUAUUAUUUUUGUUCCUUUUCCCUUAUGUUCAUCUGUUUUGUCUCUUAAGUCCUCAUAUGAGUGAAGUCAUAUGAUUUUUGUCUUUCUCUGACUAAUUUCACUUAGCAUAAUACCCUCCAGUUCCAUCCAUGUAGUUGCAAAUGGCAAGAUUUCAUUCCUUUUGAUUGCCGAGUAAUACUCCAUUGUAUAUAUAUAUAUAUAUAUAUAUAUAUAUAUAUAUAUAUAUAUACCACUUCUUCUUUAUCCAU
rnacentral:lncRNA from 1 species